rnacentral:misc_RNA from 1 species
UCCGGUUUGUCACCGGCAGUCUCCCUAGAGUGCCCUUGCGCAGCAACUAGGGACAAGGGUUGCGCUCGUUGCGGGACUUAACCCAACAUCUCACGACACGAGCUGACGACAGCCAUGCAGCACCUGUGUUACGGCUCCCUUUCGGGCACACCCCCAUCUCUGAGGGCUUCCGUACAUGUCAAGGGUAGGUAAGGUGGGAUGACGUGAGGAUAG